ensembl:snoRNA
UUUGUGAUCUCUCCCAAGAGGGCUUCUCUUGUAGCCACACAUCUGUUGAAAACACUCAUACAGUAACUUUGUUGUUUUGCUUUACUCACAUGAAUAUGUGGGAUGGAAUUAUAAGACAGUU